GGCCUCUGGCCAGCCAUUAGCAAGCUUGGGAGGACACAGUAGAAACUCACAAAGGACACACCUGAAGCUAAGAGAAGGCCACAAUUUUCCAGGGCAUGUGGUUAGGAAGGGUUAGGUCUGACUUCCAAAUUGGCUUCCUGAGUCAUAGUCAAUUUUGCUCUGCCUGACUCAGGCAUCAGUCCCUGAGCACAUCUUCUGCCAGGCACUGGCCUGUGAGCUAAGGCUUAGCCAGGAAACACAGGCACUUCUAAUCUGGAAGAGCUCACAUGCUCGGAGGGGUAGAUCCAGGCGUGAGAAAGUCCAUUUAGCAGAUCAGAGGGUGGUAAGGACCCUUGUGCAUGGUGUUGGUUGCCUCACUUCAGGAAAUCAUGCUUUCAGAGGCUUUCCUAGUCUUUCUCCACAACUCCCCAAAGGUUGCAACUCUUUAAGACACAACUUCCCCUUGCUUUCUGGAAAGAAAUAAAAUAGAAUACUGCCCCC
rnacentral:lncRNA from 1 species